UGAANUUAAAGGCUGUGGCUUAACCAUAGUACGCUUUGGAAACUGUUUAACUNGAGUGCAGAAGGGGAGAGUGGAAUUCCAUGUGUAGCGGUGAAAUGCGUAGAUAUAUGGAGGAACACCGGUGGCGAAAGCGGCUCUCUGGUCUGUAACUGACGCUGAGGCUCGAAAGCGUGGGGAGCGAACAGGAUUAGAUACCCUGGUAGUNCACGCCGUAAACGAUGAGUGCUAGGUGUUAGGCCCUUUCCGGGGCUUAGUGCCGCAGCUAACGCAUUAAGCACUCCGCCUGGGGAGUACGACCGCAAGGUUGAAACUCAAAGGAAUUGACGGGGGCCCGCACAAGCGGUGGAGCAUGUGGUUUAAUUCGAAGCAACGCGAAGAACCUUACCAGGUCUUGACAUCCCGAUGCCCGCUCUAGAGAUAGAGUUUUACUUCGGUACAUCGGUGACAGGUGGUGCAUGGUUGUCGUCAGCUCGUGUCGUGAGAUGUUGGGUUAAGUCCCGCAACGAGCGCAACCCUUAUUGUUAGUUGCCAUCAUUCAGUUGGGCACUCUAGCGAGACUGCCGGUAAUAAACCGGAGGAAGGUGGGGAUGACGUCAAAUCAUCAUGCCCCUUAUGACCUGGGCUACACACGUGCUACAAUGGCUGGUACAACGAGUCGCAAGUCGGUGACGGCAAGCUAAUCUCUUAAAGCCAGUCUCAGUUCGGAUUGUAGGCUGCAACUCGCCUACAUGAAGUCGGAAUCGCUAGUAAUCGCGGAUCAGCACGCCGCGGUGAAUACGUUCCCGGGCCUUGUACACACCGCCCGUCACACCACGAGAGUUUGUAACACCCGAAGUCGGUGAGGUAACCUUUUAGGAGC
rnacentral:rRNA from 1 species